rnacentral:rRNA from 1 species
AACCUACGGGGGGCAGCAGUGAGGAAUAUUGGUCAAUGGACGAGAGUCUGAACCAGCCAAGUAGCGUGAAGGAUGACUGCCCUAUGGGUUGUAAACUUCUUUUAUAUGGGAAUAAAAUGAGCCACGUGUGGCUUUUUGUAUGUACCAUACGAAUAAGGAUCGGCUAACUCCGUGCCAGCAGCCGCGGUAAUACGGAGGAUCCGAGCGUUAUCCGGAUUUAUUGGGUUUAAAGGGUGCGCAGGCGGAUUUUUAAGUCAGCGGUCAAAUCGUGGGGCUCAACCCCAUCCAGCCGUUGAAACUGGGGA